AACCCACUUCCUUCUUCCCUCUCUCGAUCUCCCCGACUCCUCUCGCUAUCUCUCUCUCUCGGGCGACUCAACGCCAAGGCCGAAGGAGGCUCGCCACCGGAGCUCGACGGAUACCAGCGGGCUCCAGGUCGUCUUCGGCUGAAGGGUUUCUGCUUCGGCAGAUUUUAUGACCAAUCGCCGACGAUCGGUGACUAGGGCACGGCGGGAAGGAGUUGAUUUGCAUCAUCACCGGCUGAUCGAGCCCUUUCCGGUUCUUCUCUUUGAUUUGUCCACUGGAGAAUGGUAUGGAUCGCCACCAGCUGAGAUUGAUCGCGCAAGAUCAUUGGGAAGUGAUCGAUUUAGAGGGAUGCACCAAAUCAACAUAUGGAUGAAUUUUCCUUGAAGCCGAUCAUUGCAUUCCGUUUCUUGUGGCUGAUUGAGUCUCGGCUGGGGGAUUAGGGAUCAGUUGAGGUAAGGUCCUAUUGUGUUAAGGUUUCAGUAAUUAAUUUCUGUACAAUUAGGUUCUGGAUCGAGUUUUUGGAAGAAUUGGUGGUGGUGUUCUGUUGUAUGCUAUGUAUCUCCCUACCAGAUGGAUCGAAUUGGGUGAUCAACCUUGAGGAAGCAUUGGAUCAGUAUGUGGUGGACCUUCCCUGUUGCCGGCCAUUGCCAAUUCCACUUCUUGAAGCUGUGCAGGCCUCAGGUGAGGAGGUGAAGAUUCUGUUGAGCUUCUCGGCAGUAAGUUGUAGGGUUGCUGAGCUACUGGAGUUGCUGCCAUACCUUAAGG